UCAGGACAGAGUUACAGCAUCACCAACAUCAGCUCUGAGGACAGUGGAGAAUACUACUGUGAGGCCCGGAAUAAAAUAGCAUCUAAGAACUCUACAGCUCUGAUGAUCAUUGUAGCAGGGAAACAAACAUCAGUUAUGACUACAGCUGUAGGAAUCAUAGUGGUUGUUCUGGUUCUCAUCCUCUGUCUCUCUGGCUUCACGUGGUUUAGGAAGAAGUCCUCCAAAUCCACCUCUGACACAAGAGACACAGCAGACAAUGGACAGG